rnacentral:misc_RNA from 1 species
GAUGAAGAACGUAGCGAAAUGCGAUAAGUAAUGCGAAUUGCAGAAUUCCAGUGAGUCAUCGAAUCUUUGAACGCACAUUGCGCCCUUUGGUAUUCCGAAGGGCAUGCCUGUUCGAGCGUCAUUAUCACCCCUCAAGCCCUCGGCUUGGUGUUGGACGGUUUGGUGGAGACCCCUUCGCGGGCUUCUACCCCUCCCAAAGACAAUGACGGCGGCCUCGUUGGACCCCCGGUACACUGAGUUCUUCACGGGACACGUAUCGGACACACGGGUUUGCGGGACACGGUCUGCCUCCACUCAGGGAGAAUCUUCUCAAGGUUGACCUCGGAUCAGGUAGGGAUACCCGCUGAACUUAAGCAUAUCAAUAAGCGGAGGA